GUACCCAUUUAUUUUUGUUCAACUUUUAAUCAGUUUUUAAAACUCUUUUAUUUACGCCCAAUUCUUUAAUUGCUCUUCCCAUAAUACCCAUUUCCCCACUUAAAUUUGUACCCAUCAUCUUCUCCAACACGACAUAUACUUCAUCUUCUCCAUCUAUCAACAUUCGCCCACAUUUGAGCUUCUCUAUCCCUUUGCCGUCAUAAGUCUAUCCUACCAUCAAAUGUAUCACCACUGAACCAAAAGAAAUCUUCAUCUUCUUCACCAUGUCCAACUGGGCUUAGAGUGUCUCACCCAUCUACUGUCACAAACUCCUAAUCUCCCAUUAACGAGUAUAGUAUUCUGUUGCUGGAGUUGAUCUACAUUCCAUCUCUUUGACAUUGUCACUUGAGGAAACUGAGCUUGUAGUUGGCAGUGGUUGGUUGAUUGCUUGGUUCGUGACUACAAUUUCAGAGUUGCACGAGAAUACUUUCUUUGAUAAGAACUGUCCAAAUUUAUGAGACAAAAGAAAAAGAAGAAGGAAGGCUAUGAUCUUUGAUGUUAAUUUCUUCUCAGCAUCUCCAUCCUUUUUUAAUUUUUACUUUAGUCACAAACUUUAACGUCCAAGGCACGUAUAUACAUGCUUAAUCCAUGACAAUGCUCAAUCCUAGUACUAUACAGUUAUCGAUAGUUAUUUGACCUAUUUUUCUA